CCCUCCUCGCGGAAACCGGUUGCCUCCUUCAGUACCAAGCAGAAGAAUCCCAAGGCAGACCCAAGACGUUUCACAGGCUUCACAUCGUAUAAAAGACGAGCUGUAUUAUCUGCAAAAUGGAUCUCUUAAAGGAGUUUCCACGCUGUCUGCGGGUCAGUCCGGCGCAGGAUAUGUCACUGAUGGUUAUAUGUUUCCAGAAGAAGACGCUAAGAACCUCUCUUCUCGUCUUUCGUUGCCCUCUACUAAGUCGGCGAUGUUUGUCUGUGGCCACCCACCAAGUGAAUUUUCCCAGUACUACUUCGGCGAUGCAAUCACGGUGAAUUCCGGAUCCGAAUGUUCAUUAUCUAACUCGUACUUCAUUCAAGUGAAUGGAGCACAUGAGUUAUGCUCUACGAUUUAUCAUUUUCUGUAUAGCAUUGAUCUAUCGGGUCAUCUAAUCGAGAGAGAUGGCAAACGCUCAUGGUUCCACUAUGAUGAAGACGUGAUUAGACUAUGCUUGCCUCUUUUUGAAAGGUUUGACAACUGUGAGUUUCAUAAUAUAUAUACAAAGUGCGGUAACAUCUUUUUUAUACAUAGGAGUACAUGUCCGGUACUCUCAUCUGAAAAUAAUUAUGCUAUCGCUCACGUUUUUGAAUACAUACUUGCAGAUAGAAGAGUAUGUUUGAAAAAGUUGUGCGAAGGUACAUAUUCUCUUUUCAAAUCGGAAAUUCAGGGUUUAAAAUUCAUACUAAGUUGCAUGCUAUCUUCUGAGUCGGAUGAAUUCUGUGAUAUAUUUCUGCAUACAAAUAACAAUUACUCAUACAGUAAUGAACAA